CUCUCCUCUUCUCUGUUGCCGAAUGGAAGUCUCUCGGUGGAGCCAAUGCUACGCCGUCUUCUCCCAGAUGAAGAAGAACACCUCUGCUCCCUUGCUAGCCAAGAAAUCCAAAUACUCUGGCCAAUCAAUUAGAGCAAUUCCGAUUCGAAUAUUGACGGUGGGCAAGAGGAGGUCUCCAGGGGUGCAGCUUUUGGUCGAGGAGUACAUGGAGAAGCUCAGGUACUAUUGCAGCGUCGAGGAUGUCCAUGUAAAGUCUAAUCCAAAAAGUAGCAGCAAUGUGAAAGCUCAGAUUGAUGCAGAAGACAUGGUCAUUAUGCAACAGAUCAGACAUGAAGAUUGGGUUGUUGUGUUGGAUGAGCAUGGACUAGAUGUCGGAUCUGAGCAGUUAGCUGAUUUAUUGGGUGAUGCAGGAAGAACAGGUUCAACAAGACUUGCCUUUUGCAUUGGCGGCCCAUAUGGUCAUGGACCACAGUUGCGGAAUCGUGCCGAUGUAACGAUUCGAUUAUCUUCAAUGGUGUUGAAUCACCAGAUUGCAUUAAUUGUGUUGUUGGAGCAACUUUAUAGAUCAUGGACAAUCAUCAAAGGCCAGAAGUACCAUCAUUAGGAUGCUUAUCAGUCUUCUUGAUUUCGUGGCAAUUUCCUGGUAAAGUUGCAGUAUGCAAAGAUUCCAAGUUUUGCUUGUUGACUUUGCAGAGUGAGCAUCAAUCGACCUGUUGAAGCUGGCAUUUUAAUUAUCCAGAAAAAAAGCUGUCCAUAAAGCAUCCACCCAAGAUGAGAUGUGUAGUAAUUCAGAGCACUCGAUGAUGCCACCACUUCCACCUGCAAAUCCCAGACUGAUCAUGGAGUUCACACAGGACAGGAUGAGUUGCUCUGCAACAAUCACAGACAUGGGAUUAUUUUCCUAUCACGGUCGUGCCAUCCUUGUAGCAUGGACCUGUUAAAUUGUAUAUGAAGAAUUGGUUUUUUGUACGUCAUCUCGUUGCUUCCUGAUUGUGUUAUAUACAUGUGGAGGUAUUUGUUUUGA